AUAAUGUGGUCCGUCUGUCAAAAAGAAGAGUUCUGCCCAGAAAGAUUUUAUUGUUCGUGCAAGAAAGGUCUUCUAUACACUUUUGUGGUGAAUCCAUUUAUUAGAGAUCGACUGCAAGGAUAUUUUUAUCGAUUGGUUUUCCUGUCUAAUCGAUCUAAUACUGUCCAAAUAAUAGCGUCAAGCAACAUCUUUGACCUGCAGACUCGCCCAGCUGAUUGGAAUCCUAUCCACCUCGACGGAAUGAAAGUUCUUUCGAAGAAUAGUAUCCAUCAUCUACGUGCAGAUUCAAUGUGUGUACACAUGGGAACUGUAUUUGCCAUUGGUCUAGCUACACGUAUGCUUUAGUCAAGUUCUAAGAAACAUUGAAAGUUGUGGGAAGAAUAGCGCAGCCGGCAUUGUAAAAUUUAAAAUAUCGUUAAUUCUCACUUGAUAUGUUCAUUGUUAUACACAUAUUCGUGAUGUUUGGCUUUACGUUUUAAAACAGAAACAGUUUAUAAAAAAAUUAUUUAAACUAUAUGUUAAAUAAUUAUUCAAAUAAUUAUUCAAUCAUUUUUAACCAUUAAGCCAAGUAUUUUUUAAAACUGAUUAAUCUGAUGUUUCCUAAAUUUACACUGUUUGAAUCUCUAAUUUUUGGGGUGGUUAUUUUUAUCAAUAAAUUAUAAUAA